GACGAACGCUGGCGGCGUGCUUAACACAUGCAAGUCGAACGAUGAUGCUCCAGCUUGCUGGGGUGGAUUAGUGGCGAACGGGUGAGUAACACGUGAGUAACCUGCCCCCUUCUUCGGGAUAAGCUUGGGAAACUGGGUCUAAUACUGGAUAUUCUGCAAUUGUCGCAUGGGGGUUGGGGGAAAGAUUUUUUGGUGGGGGAUGGGCUCGCGGCCUAUCAGCUUGUUGGUGGGGUGAUGGCCUACCAAGGCGUCGACGGGUAGCCGGCCUGAGAGGGUGACCGGCCACACUGGGACUGAGAUACGGCCCAGACUCCUACGGGAGGCAGCAGUGGGGAAUAUUGCACAAUGGGCGCAAGCUUGAUGCAGCGACGCCGCGUGAGGGAUGACGGCUUUCGGGUUGUAAACCUCUUUCGAUGGGGAACAAGGCCAUAUUUUUGUGUGGUUGAGGGUACCUGUAUAAGAAGCGCCGGCUAACUACGUG
rnacentral:rRNA from 1 species